AGUGAACGCUGGCGGCGUGCUUAACACAUGCAAGUCGAACGAGAACGGGAUAUAGCUUGCUAUAUUUGUCAGCUAAGUGGCGCACGGGUGAGUAAUGUAUAGGUAAUAUGCCUCUUACUAAGGGAUAACAAUUGGAAACGAUUGCUAAUACCUUAUAUGCCUUUAAGACUAAAGUCUGCAAGGGAAAGAUUUAUUGGUAAGAGAUUAGCCUGUAUUGUAUCAGCUAGUUGGUGAGGUAAUGGCUCACCAAGGCUAUGACGCAUAACUGGUUUGAGAGGAUGAUCAGUCACACUGGAACUGAGACACGGUCCAGACUCCUACGGGAGGCAGCAGUGGGGAAUAUUGCACAAUGGACGAAAGUCUGAUGCAGCAACGCCGCGUGGAGGAUGACACAUUUCGGUGCGUAAACUCCUUUUAUAUAGGAAGAUAAUGACGGUACUAUAUGAAUAAGCACCGGCUAACUCCGUGCCAGCAGCCGCCGCAGUAA
rnacentral:rRNA from 1 species